rnacentral:lncRNA from 1 species
UUAGGAGUUAACUCACCUGGAGGGAAGAUUACAGUAGAGGCAAUGCGCAGAAAUCAACCAAUAAUAAUCCACAACACCAAAUUUUCAGCAGACCUGCAUGUUAUAGAGAUGUCAGGGUUAGAAAUAAUCCUUGGGAUGGAUUGGUUAGCUGCUAAUGGAGUGAAAGUAGAUUGUGAACUUAAAAGUGUAUCCAUAAGGAAGUCUGAUGGCUCUAGGCUGAUAUAUUUUGAAAGUAGAACCAGACCCAACAAUCCCUUAGUAAUGGUAGCAAGUGGACAAAAGAAAGAAAUAAAGGAUAUACCUGUAGUUUGUGAGUUUCCUGAUGUAUUUCCGGAUGAAGGGUAUGCCGCCUGAUAGGGAGUUAGAGUUCAGCAUUGUUUUAAUGCCUGGGGCAUCACCUAUCUCCAAAAGACCCUACAAAAUGUCACAGCCGGAGUUAGUGGAGCUAAAGAAACAAUUGGAUGAGCUGAAGGAAAAAGGAUUCAUUAGGGAAAGCAUGUCACCAUGGGGAGCACCGGUAUUAUUUGCAGAGAAAAAGGAUGGAGGGUUGAGGCUAUGCACAGAUUUUCGAGACCUUAACAAGGUAACUGUAAAGAAUAAGUAUCCAUUACCGAGAAUAAAUGAUUUAUUUGAUCAACUCAAGGGUGCAUGUGUCUUCUCAAAAAUUGACUUGAGAUCUGGAUAUCAUCAAAUGAAAGUGAAGGAAGAGGACAUUGAGAAGACGGCAUUUGUGUCUCGGUAUGGACACCAUGAGUACACUGUGGUUCCAUUCGGUCUAACUAAUGCCCCAGCUAUGUUCAUGAACUUGAUGAACAAAAUUUUCAUGCAAUAUCUGGACAAGUUUGUAGUGGUCUUUAUUGAUGACAUAUUAAUAUAUUCAAGAAGCAAGGAAGAGCAUGCUGAACACUUGAGGAUAGCACUUCAAAUCUUAAGAGAGAAUCAGUUGUAUGCAAAAUUUAGUAAGUGUGAGUUUUGGCUGGACCAAGUAGCUUUCUUGGGGCACGUAAUUUCAGGAAGAGGAGUUGAGGUUGACCCAUCAAAAAUUGAGACAGUUGUGUCUUGGGCUCGUCCGACCAAUCCAAGUGAGAUAAGGAGUUUCUUGGGCUUUGCAGGGUACUACCGCAGAUUUAUAAAAGGGUUUUCGCAGAUUACAGCACCAAUCACCAAAUUGCUUAGGAAAGAAGCUAAGUUUAUUUGGACUGAAGAGUGUGAGAGAAGUUUUCAGGAACUAAAGAAAAGGUUAACUACCGCACCAGUGUUGGCAUUACCUGAAAGUGGACAAGAUUAUGUGGUGUAUUGUGAUGCUUCAAAAUCUGGACUAGGAUGUGUUCUGAUGCAAAAUGAUAGAGUGAUAGCCUAUGCUUCUAGGCAAUUAAAGACACAUGAAGUAAAUUACCCUACCCAUGACUUGGAGUUGGGAGCUGUUGUGUUUGCACUGAAAAUAUGGAGGCACUACCUAUAUGGUUCUAAGUGCACACUGUACAGCGACCACAAGAGUCUCAAAUACAUAUUUACACAAAAAGAGUUGAACAUGAGGCAGAGGAGGUGGCUGGAACUAAUCAAGGAUUAUGAUCUGACAAUUAACUACCACCCUGGUAAGGCAAAUGUAGUGGCAGAUGCACUUAGUAGAAAGAAGCAAUGCAACCACAUAUCCAUUGAAGGGUAUGGCAAAGAGCUACUGCAGGAUCUUGCAAAGAUGGGAAUAGAGCUGAGAGAGGCCACAUCUAGUGCUAAUAUAGCAGCCAUGACAUUUCACCCCACAUUGCUAGAUCAGAUUAAGGAAAAGCAAGCAAUGGAUGCAUUCAUCAAGGAGAAAACGAGAAGAAUUCAAGCGGGACAGCCUUCACAAUUCAAGUUGGACCAGGAAGGAGUUCUUUGGAACCAUAUUAGGAUCUGUGUGCCAGAUGACCUACAGAUCAAGGAAAUUAUUUUGCAUGAAGCUCAUGACACUUUGUACACUAUCCAUCCUGGGAGCACGAAUAUGUAUAAGGAUGUGAAGGGAAAUUUUUGGUGGCCUGGUAUGAAAAGGGAAAUCGCAGAAUAUGUCAGCAAGUGCGACACUUGUCAGAGGGUAAAAGCAGAACAUCAAAGGCCUGCCGGGUUAUUAAAGCCACUAGAGACACCAGAUUGGAAAUGGGAAGAUCUAUGUAUGGAUUUUAUUACUGGUUUGCCUAUGACACCAAAAAAGAAGGAUGCUAUAUGGGUUGUGGUCGACCGACUCACUAAGUCAGCACACUUCAUUGCCACAAACCAGAAAUAUUCCUUUGAUAAGUUGGCUGAACUGUACUUAGAGAGGAUAGUUACCCUCCAUGGUGUGCCAAAGACCAUAACAUCUGACCGAGGUUCCGUGUUUACAUCAAGCUUUUGGAAGAGCCUACAGAAGUCUCUUGGAACUGAGCUACACUUUAGCACAGCUUAUCAUCCCCAAACCGAUGGCCAGACAGAGCGGGUAAAUCAGAUCCUUGAGGAUAUGUUGAGAGCAUGUGUAAUGAACUUUGGAGAAUCAUGGGAUAAGCAUCUACACUUAGCAAAAUUUGCCUACAAUAACAGUUAUCAAUCCAGCAUACAAAUGGCUCCAUAUGAGGCAUUGUAUGGGAGGAAAUGCAGAUCACCUAUAUGCUGGUAUGAAGUUGGAGAGAGACCAUUACUUGGUCCUGACAUAGUGAGAGAGAAUGAUGAGAAGAUCCAACUAAUCAAAGAACGACUACAGAUUGCACAAAAUAGGCAGAAGAGCUAUGCUGACCGGAAUAGGAGGGUUAUGAAAUUGGCAGUAGGAGACUUGGUUUAUCUAAAGGUAUCACCUAUGAGAGGGGUUCGACGCUUUGGAAUCAAAGGAAAGUUGAGUCCUAGAUAUGUUGGGCCAUUUAAAAUUUUGGAGGAGAAGGGAGCAUCUCCUUAUAAGUUGGAGUUACCGAAACGUUUAUCAAGAAUUCACAAUGUCUUCCACAUAUCUCAACUUAAGAAAUGCAACAAGCCACCACCACAAGUAUCAGACUUGGAGAUUGAAUUACAACCAGACCUGACGUAUGAAGAACGACCAUUGAAGAUCUUAGAAGUUGAAGACCGCAAGCUCAGGACAAGGACCAUUUGGUUCUGCAAAGUGCAAUGGAAGAACCACUCAGUUCGUGAGGCGACGUGGGAGAAGGAGGAAGACCUGCGAGUAACCUACCCCAACCUUUUUAAGUAAGUUUUCGAUUUCGAGGACGAAAUCUUUUUCUAAGGAGGGUAGGAUGUAACGACCCGUAUUUUUUUCACAUAGUAAUUCCACUCUUAACUAGAUAAUUAAGUAGAAUCCAUUAAGCAAAUACAUAUCAGAUUUCUUCAACAAGCAUCAUAACCACUCAAUUAUAUAUAUUUAUAUUCAUAAACCUCAGACAGUAUAGCUGUAAAAGUGUAUUACAAAUCUUUGGAAAAAAAUUUAGGGAGACCAUGCUAUGCUAAGCUAUACAGUUGGACCAACACAAAAUAUCUCUGGGUCAACCAGUACAGCAAGACACAUGGACCACCACCCUCACGUGCACCAUAUUAAUAGUCAAUUGGUCAGCAGUAUAGUCUAUGUAUGGGCUUCAACCUUCAGCCAAUUAGAAGCUAGCACCUGUGAGAACAAUGGAGAAGAGGAUGGGCAGCCAUACCAGCCAAGGGAGGUGGAUAUCAGAUAUUAGAUGGCAAGGAGAGUAGAGUAAGCAACUGCCAAGUUUCACUCGUCUCAGCUCUACCCAAAAUAGCCAGACCAAGCCCUCUUCUUCCCAGCAACACUAGCAUUCCCCUGUCCAAAACCAACAAAGAUCCAAGAACAAUAAGUGAAGAUGGUGACAUGAGAAAUCAUCAGUAGACUGAAGGGGACAGGCUAGAGCAAGAAGCUAGCCUA